CAAUAACGUAUAUUAAAAUUGUUGCGGUUAAAAAGCUCGUAGUUGGAUUUCUGCCGAAGACGACCGGUCCGCCCUGUGGGUGAGCAUCUGGAUCGGCCUGGGCAUCUUCUUGGGGAACGUAGCUGCACUUGAUUGUGUGGCGCGGUAUCCAAGACUUUUACCUUGAGGAAAUUAGAAUGUUUCAAGCAGGCGCACGCCUUGAAUACAUUAGCAUGGAAUAAUAAGAUAAGACCUCGGUUCUAUUUUGUUGGUUUCUAGAUCUGAGGUAAUGAUUAAUAGGGAUAGUUGGGGGCAUUCGUAUUUAAUAGUCAGAAAUGAAAUUCUUGGAUUUGUUAAAGACGGAUUACUGCGAAAGCAUUUGCCAAGGAUGUUUUCAUUGAUCAAGAACGAAAGUUAGGGGAUCGAAGAUGAUCAGAUACCAU
rnacentral:rRNA from 1 species